rnacentral:misc_RNA from 1 species
AGUCAUGGUUAAUUAAAUAAUCAUCCCAGAAGGAAAUAUCAUAAAAUUAAGAAUUAAAUAACAAGCACCAGAGAGAUCUAGAUAUAUUUUGUUCUCUUUUUUUAAAGAAAAAAAAAAGGUUAUGUAAUUUUCCUGUGGGAGUUCUGUAGUUUCAGUAAAUGUAAAAGCAUUUUGCUUCUUGUUGCAAUAUUUACCUUGUUAAUUAGUCUUAUUCCAAUACAAAUCAAUUACAGCUUCUGG